GCGACCUCAGCUCAGGCGGGGCUACCCGCUGAGUUUAAGCAUAUCAAUAAGCGGAGGAAAAGAAACUAACAAGGAUUCCCCUA
rnacentral:rRNA from 7 species